rnacentral:rRNA from 1 species
CAGCAGCCGCGGUAAGACGGAGGGUGCUAGCGUUGUUCGGAAUCACUGGGCGUAAAGGGCGCGUAGGCGGCCUGUUAAGUCGGAUGUGAAAGCCCGGGGCUCAACCCCGGAACUGCAUCCGAGACUGGCAGGCUUGAGACCGGGAGAGGAGGGUGGAAUAUCCAGUGUAGAGGUGAAAUUCGUAGAUAUUGGAUGGAACACCGGUGGCGAAAGCGGCUCUCUGGCCCGGAUCUGACGCUGAGGCGCGAAAGCGUGGGGAGCAAACAGGAUUAGAGACCCCUGUAGUCCCUGUCUCUUAUAC